AGUGGACGCUGGCGGCAGGCCUAACACAUGCAAGUCGAGCGGCAGCGCGGGGGCAACCCUGGCGGCGAGCGGCGGACGGGUGAGGAAUUCGUCGGAAUCUGCCUUUUUGUGGGGGAUAACGUAGGGAAACUUACGCUAAUACCGCAUACGUCCUACGGGAGAAAGUGGGGGACCGCAAGGCCUCACGCAGAGAGAUGAGCCGACGACCGAUUAGCUAGUUGGUGGGGUAAAGGCCCACCAAGGCGACGAUCGGUAGCUGGUCUGAGAGGAGGAUCAGCCAGAGUGGGACUGGGACACGGGCCGGACGGCAACGGGAGGGAGGAGGGGAGAAGAUUAGACAAGGGGGGAAAGACUGAUCGAGCAAGGACGCGUGAGUGAGAAAGGCCGCAGGGAAGUAAAGCCCUGUGACCAGGGAUGAUGAUGAGACGAGCGGGAGAAUGGGCUCGGGCUAAAUCAGUG
rnacentral:rRNA from 1 species